rnacentral:misc_RNA from 1 species
GAUGAAGAACGUAGCGAAAUGCGAUAAGUAGUGUGAAUUGCAGAAUUCAGUGAAUCAUCGAAUCUUUGAACGCACAUUGCGCCCUCUGGUAUUCCGGGGGGCAUGCCUGUUCGAGCGUCAUUACAACCCUCAAGCUUUGCUUGGUAUUGGACAUUGCCAGUUUCUGGCAGGUCUUAAAAUCAGUGGCGGUGCCAUUUGGCUUCAAGCGUAGUAAUUCUUCUCGCUUUGGAGAUCCAGGUGGUUACUUGCCAAUAACCCCCAAUUUUUUCAGGUUGACCUCGGAUCAGGUAGGGAUACCCGCUGAACUUAAGCAUAUCAAUAAGCGGAGGA